rnacentral:rRNA from 1 species
AUUGAACGCUGGCGGCGGGCCUAACACAUGCAAGUCGAACGGUAACAGAAAGCAGCUUGCUGCUUUGCUGACGAGUGGCGGACGGGUGAGUAAUGUCUGGGAAACUGCCUGAUGGAGGGGGAUAACUACUGGAAACGGUAGCUAAUACCGCAUAACGUCGCAAGACCAAAGAGGGGGACCUUCGGGCCUCUUGCCAUCGGAUGUGCCCAGAUGGGAUUAGCUAGUAGGUGGGGUAAAGGCUCACCUAGGCGACGAUCCCUAGCUGGUCUGAGAGGAUGACCAGCCACACUGGAACUGAGACACGGUCCAGACUCCUACGGGAGGCAGCAGUGGGGAAUAUUGCACAAUGGGCGCAAGCCUGAUGCAGCCAUGCCGCGUGUAUGAAGAAGGCCUUCGGGUUGUAAAGUACUUUCAGCGGGGAGGAAGGGAGUAAAGUUAAUACCUUUGCUCAUUGACGUUACCCGCAGAAGAAGCACCGGCUAACUCCGUGCCAGCAGCCGCGGUAAUACGGAGGGUGCAAGCGUUAAUCGGAAUUACUGGGCGUAAAGCGCACGCAGGCGGUUUGUUAAGUCAGAUGUGAAAUCCCCGGGCUCAACCUGGGAACUGCAUCUGAUACUGGCAAGCUUGAGUCUCGUAGAGGGGGGUAGAAUUCCAGGUGUAGCGGUGAAAUGCGUAGAGAUCUGGAGGAAUACCGGUGGCGAAGGCGGCCCCCUGGACGAAGACUGACGCUCAGGUGCGAAAGCGUGGGGAGCGAACAGGAUUAGAUACCCUGGUAGUCCACGCCGUAAACGAUGUCGACUUGGAGGUUGUGCCCUUGAGGCGUGGCUUCCGGAGCUAACGCGUUAAGUCGACCGCCUGGGGAGUACGGCCGCAAGGUUAAAACUCAAAUGAAUUGACGGGGGCCCGCACAAGCGGUGGAGCAUGUGGUUUAAUUCGAUGCAACGCGAAGAACCUUACCUGGUCUUGACAUCCACGGAAGUUUUCAGAGAUGAGAAUGUGCCUUCGGGAACCGUGAGACAGGUGCUGCAUGGCUGUCGUCAGCUCGUGUUGUGAAAUGUUGGGUUAAGUCCCGCAACGAGCGCAACCCUUAUCCUUUGUUGCCAGCGGUCCGGCCGGGAACUCAAAGGAGACUGCCAGUGAUAAACUGGAGGAAGGUGGGGAUGACGUCAAGUCAUCAUGGCCCUUACGACCAGGGCUACACACGUGCUACAAUGGCGCAUACAAAGAGAAGCGACCUCGCGAGAGCAAGCGGACCUCAUAAAGUGCGUCGUAGUCCGGAUUGGAGUCUGCAACUCGACUCCAUGAAGUCGGAAUCGCUAGUAAUCGUGGAUCAGAAUGCCACGGUGAAUACGUUCCCGGGCCUUGUACACACCGCCCGUCACGCCAUGGGAGUGGGUUGCAAAAGAAGUAGGUAGCUUAACCUUCGGGAGGGCGCUUACCAC